UGCAAAUUGAACAAUUGUAACAGGCAGCUGCAGGGCCAGUUUUACGGCAAUCGAUUGUCCUAUAUGGUGUGUGUGUGUGCUCGAUGUUAAUUACUGCAAUCAGUUAUACACAAAGACUGUUCCAGUCCUCCUCGCCCAAUCAUCGCACAUUGAGGCCCUCCCGCGUCGAGCGAGGAAUCACCGCCAGCCCCGGGAGCGCGUGCGGGCGCUCACCGGUGACAAGAAGUCACGAGGGUGGUGGUGGUGGGGGGGUGGCAGGGAGGGAGCCACGCGGACGCCUCGACCACGCGCGCUCAUGGCACGCGCAUGAACUAAUCUGGGUGCGCUCGCCGCGUGUUAACUUAGACGUGCUGCUACUAUCCGUUGUCGCAGGUGACAAAGGGCCCCGGUGGUCAUCAUGAAGGGACAUGCGACAGGCCAUGCUCGGCAUUCCCGUCGCUCAUCGCUGCGCCAAGACCCCAUGAAUCCCUCUCUGCCAUCAGCCAAGAGAAUAUUCCACCUCACCGGGUUCGUUAAGGGCCUCUCCAUCAUUUCAGAGGUUCGAUGCCUUUUGCAUGACUGCACUGCCGAGAGUCUUCUGCCUGUGUUUACGUUGCUAAAGUUUUAACGUUAAUUUCGUUUGGAAGAUAACAUGUUCGAUAAUAUAAGCAUUGAUUUUUCUCUCACUGUAUGUAUGAUCAGUAGCACCGGUAAUUUCUUAGGCACAUUUUUAACGUGCCUUUUUGUAACAUAACGUAAAAUACUACACCCUAAAAUGUGACAGCAAAUGUCAUUGUUAUCACAAUAAAUGUCAUUGUUGUCACGAGUUUACAAAAGUAAUUAAAUGAAUUUGUCCAAAAUGUUUAAAUUCAAUAUGCAAUUUACAAGGAAAGAAAUGGAAUUGGCUUGACUUUGAAAAUCUCUACUGCUGCAACCCGAUUCAAAUUUGCAUUUAAUUACAAGGUAUGAAAAUAUAAGAUACUGUACUCCAAAUAUGUUUAAACAUAAUUCAAAAAAUGUGUUUAAAUUGAUUAUCAUUACUUGGUUUUAGUGAUUUUUUGCCUUGCAUGUGACAAUUGCUGUUAUUGAUAGGGUCCGUGCUUUACAGCGAUACAUCGUACGAUAUUAGAUUCACAAUGUGCAUAUCGUUCAUUUUGCAAAAUGCUAACGUGAUUAUCAUUGCUGUUUUAAUUUUGUCAAAUAUUGUUUUUGUUGAAGGAAUAUUUUUCUGAACUUACAAACUCAAGCAAUGAAGUUCUAAAUAAACGGCCAAUGUUAAUUAACCUAGUGCUUUGCUAAAUAUUUUGGUGAGUAAUUGACGGCAUGGUGGUAAUAUGAUGGUAUUACAUUCACAGUUAAUUAAAUUAUCAAUAUAUUUAUUGUGUAACUGACAGCAUAUACGUUAGAAGCAUUGUACAAAGUAAAAUUGCAAUGAUCGGAAGACUUUCGACAGGCUAAUGUUAGGUUAACUGCAGUUGAAAAACGUGGAAGUGAUCUUUAUUCAUAUUAUAAAUACAGCAAAAAAACUCAAAUAAAAUAAUACAAUUGUGAAAUACAAUUGCAAAGUUACAGGAAGCUGAUAUUGUGAUAAUCGUAAUAUCGUGACACUUGAUAUCAUGUCGUAAUGUGAAAAAUUAUACUUCACAACCCUGGUUAUUUAAUACAAUCAGAUAUGCCGAGUGAUUUGUUUGAUUAAUCUCUGAGCUGUUGUUAUGUUUCACCACAUUUUAAGUUACUUUUUACGCAAAUACUUUUUGUAAA